CGUCUGGAGGCUGGCAACGGGUGAGCCGCUCCGGGUCGUAUCAAAACGGUUCGGUCUGGGGAUAUCCACUUGUCACAAGCUGGUCUUGGAGGUUUGCUCGGCGAUCAAAACUGUGUUAAUGCCCAAGUUCCUACAGUGGCCUGAUGAGCUGAAAAUGAAACAAAUUAAGGAAGAGUUCCAGGGUAUUUCAGGGAUACCAAAUGUUGGUGGGUCAAUGUACACGACUCACAUACCAAUCAUAGCGCCUAAGAUUAGCGUUGCUUCGUAUUUCAACAAAAGGCACACUGAGAGAAACCAGAAGACUUCUUAUUCCAUCACAGUACAAG
rnacentral:lncRNA from 1 species